rnacentral:rRNA from 1 species
UACGAAGGGGGCUAGCGUUGUUCGGCUUUACUGGGCGUAAAGCGCACGUAGGCGGACUAUUAAGUCAGGGGUGAAAUCCCGGGGCUCAACCCCGGAACUGCCUUUGAUACUGGUAGUCUUGAGUUCGAGAGAGGUGAGUGGAAUUCCGAGUGUAGAGGUGAAAUUCGUAGAUAUUCGGAGGAACACCAGUGGCGAAGGCGGCUCACUGGCUCGAUACUGACGCUGAGGUGCGAAAGCGUGGGGAGCAAACAGG